CAUUAGAUGACUGAAGUAUAAGUAUUGGUCUCUUAAACCAAAUAUAGUAAAAUAAUAUCUACUUCUAGUGA
rnacentral:tRNA from 1 species